rnacentral:rRNA from 1 species
UACGGGGGGAGCAAGCGUUGUUCGGAUUUACUGGGCGUAAAGGGCGCGUAGGCGGCCACUGCAAGUCAGUUGUGAAAUCUCCGGGCUUAACCCGGAAAGGUCAGCCGAUACUGCAGGGCUAGAGUGCAGAAGGGGCAACUGGAAUUCUCGGUGUAGCGGUGAAAUGCGUAGAUAUCGAGAGGAACACCUGAGGUGAAGACGGGUUGCUGGGCUGACACUGACGCUGAGGCGCGAAAGCCAGGGGAGCAAACGGG